rnacentral:lncRNA from 1 species
UGGCAAUCAUGCGCUGCUGCUCAACAUAUCUGGAUCCUUGUGGUAGGAAACCAAACAUGCAAGCACGCUUCUUCAUUUGAUUCGUGAACGCGACCGCACUGACAUGCCAUCUGCAGCCGCCACGGCUGCACUCAACAGCUUGAAUGCAGAAUGCUUGAUUGCUGCAAGAACAUUCUGGAUGUUCUCUUGGAAAAAGGAGAGGCUCCUGUUGCAGCUUCAUACGGAGUAUUUCGUAGCAACCAACAGAACGUCAUUUGUGAACACGUAAUCUCAAUGCC